CUCCAAUUACAUGUCCAAUUCACUUGCAUUUGAUCUCAGCAUGCAUUUCCAUUCACUUUUGGGCCUCACAUGCGCCUGUACAGGCCCAUGCAUGGAGGAUCCAAAAUUCAUGCACACGAGCAAAACACCUCCUUGCAUCAAGUUUAGCUAUAAAUAGAAGUGCUUGCUCAUUCAAAAUUCAACCACAAGGAGAUCUGAAACGCUGCUGAAGUAAAAACCCAACCCUCACACAAAGGAAUUUCAUUUUUCAUUUUCAAUUUCAAGCUUGAAUUUC
rnacentral:lncRNA from 1 species